rnacentral:tRNA from 1 species
GCGCUUGUAGCUCAGAUGGACAGAGCUUCCGCCUCCGGAGCGGACGGUCACCGGUUCGAAUCCGGUCGAGCGCA